GCCACUGUAGUAUAGUGGUUUGAGUGUUGGACUAUAACUCUAUAGACCAGAGUUCAAAUCCCUGCUGGAA